GGUUAUUCCUGGCCUUGGAACUGAGAUUCCAUUCUGUCCAAUACCUUCCGUUCCUCAGAUGCCACAGCUUACGUGAAGCACAGUGCUGACUGCACGCUGCACUCAUUCCCGUGCCCUGAUCCUGCCUGAUCUCAAGCCGAGUCACACUCUGUGCAGAACACCUCAGCAGCUUCCCAUCAACUUCAAGCUGAAUGCUAGAGUCCCACCGUGGCAUGCAGGUUCCCACCCUGCUCCCUUCUCUGCCCGUUCCGCUGUCCUGUUCUGUUCUCCAAGGUCACACCCUCGCCGCCUCCUGGCUGCCUCACGGCAUUCCUGUGUGCUGAGGUUGUUUAACUCACUAGAGUUACCCAUUCGAGGGACCAGGAUUUAGCUCAGUAGUUCCACCACCUGCCUUGCAAACGCAAGGACCCAAGUUCAAUCCCUGUUACUAAAAAAAUAAGAAUUACCCAUUCGUGGUUUUUGUGAUGAAGUCUCUCAAAUUGAUUUUUCCUCAAGCCAAAUAAAUAAAACUCACAAAACACC
rnacentral:lncRNA from 1 species